AUACACAUGCAAGUCUCCGCACCCCUGUGAAAACGCCCUUCAAUCCCUCUAGGGAUAAGGAGCUGGUAUCAGGCUCGAAAUUCUGCCCAAAACACCUAGCUAUGCCACACCCACAAGGGAACUCAGCAGUGAUUAACAUUGAGAAUAAGCGACAGCUUGACUCAGUUAAAGUAAAAAGAGCCGGCUAAUCUGGUGCCAGCCGCCGCGGUUACACCACGUGGCUCAAAUUGAUUUUAAUCGGCGUAAAGCGUGAUUUAAGAAACAAAGAAUUAAAAUUAAACUCAAACUAAGCUGUGACACGCUUGCCUGUAAGAAAACCAAAUACGAAAGUUAUUUCAAUUAACCCAACUUGAAUUCACGACAGUUAGGGUACAAACUGGGAUUAGAUACCCCACUAUGCCUAACCGUAAACUUUAAUUUACACACACAUCGCCAGGGAACUACGAGCCAAGCUUAAAACCCAAAGGACUUGACGGUACCCCAAAUCCACCUAGAGGAGCCUGUCCUAUAAUCGAUAACCCCCGUUUAACCUCACCACUUCUAGCUACUCAGCCUGUAUACCUCCGUCGUCAGCUUACCACGUGAGCGAAUAUUAGUGAGCUUAAUGCCAAUACACCAACACGUCAGGUCAAGGUGCAGCACAUGAAGUGGGAAGAGAUGGGCUACACUUUCUAACCUAGAAAAUACAAAAGACUACCUAUGAAACCUAGUCUGAAGGCGGAUUUAGAAGUAAAAAGAAACAAGAGUGUUCUCUUUAACUAGGCACUGGGGUGUGUACACACCGCCCGUCACCCUCUUCAAAGCUAAUAAAAAGUUCUUAACUAACUCAUGCUAUAUAGAAGAGGCAAGUCGUAACAUGGUAA
rnacentral:ncRNA from 1 species